rnacentral:lncRNA from 1 species
AGAGACAUGAACCCAGCCUGCCUCAGGGCAAGAAGCUGGUCCAUGGGAUGGGCCAGGCAGGAAUGGCGGCUGGCACGUGUCUGUGGCAGUAGGAGGGCCCUGGCUGCCAGCCCAGAUGCCUGGUAGCUUCUGAGCUGGGUUCCUGGGAGGGUGAGAGCCCAAGAGAUGUUUAUCCAGAACAAGGGCGUGAGUAUCACACCUCCUCCAGCAAGGGCCCCAGUGAUAGGCAUAGGCAGCUGGCUCUUCACUGGGCUGCAUAGUCUCCUGAGAGUUACCUGUGAAUAGGGUCUUGGCUAAGCAAAAGAGCUGCAGGCCCAGCAGCCCCUGCUUAAGCCAGGACCUGGGCGCUUGGCUAAGGAGCCUUACCCAUACAGAUAAGGGAGGGAAUGAGUCACAGCAAGCUCUCCCAGGAGGCCACUGGAAAACCAGCUCAUCCAAAUGCAGACAGACACUUGUCCCCGAAUACAGACAUCCCUGUCCCUGUCGCUGUCACACAGGGCACACACAAAUCCCUCCCUCCCUCCUACCCUGAGUCACCAACCUCCAGUGUCCCUGGUUCUUCUCCUUGAUCUCAGCCCCAAUUAUCCAUCCCUGCCCACCCUUACAUAGUAUUCCCCAGUUUGUCAAGGCUGGCUGGGAGGGGGGGUGGGGGGGGGGGGGGGGGGGGAGUAAAAGACCUGAGCCCACAGGCAGAAAGAGAGAAGGGCUGGAGAGCUGUCUGAAAAGCAGCAGGCAAAACAAGGAAGUGGAUGGUCUUGGCCAAGCAGGAGAAAAAAAAUGCAGAACCUAUGCAAAGCCUGGGGCGUCCUACCAGUCUGCUAACCCACAUCAAGCACCUGCUUCUCCGGUCGUCGCUAUUUUGCCUCUGCUCAACAGAGAGGAUGAAGAGCUAAAUGCCACCCUCCACCCCACCCCACCCCGUGCCUAGGUCUGCCCUGAUGCUGCCUCUGUCCCACCCACAUCCUCACACCCUGCUGGGGGCCAGGCUGGCUCUGACAGCCCCUUCCUCAAGGUAGAAAAAGUAGAAGAGACCAAGACAGUCACCCACUCUGCCUCCCCUCCCCAAGCUAAGAGGAUGCUACUCUCCCUCCUUGACCCAGCACCCUCUGGUGGUUCCAAAUUCUCACCUGAACCAAUUACCUGCAACCUCGCCCUCUCUUUCUCUGCCACUUUCUCUUUCCUCUUUCUUCUUGUUUGUUUUUGCUUUAUGUAUUAGGUUUGGGUCGGGUUCGGGUUGUUCGAGAAACGAUCUAACUAUGCUGGCCUUGGAUUAUAAUCCUCUCGCCUCAAUCUAGGUAGUGCUGGGUCACAAACCUGCCCCCAACACCUCACAGGUAUUUGCCCUUCUAAGGCACCCUCUGCUCAAGGACACCAGAACCCCAGGUAUGACCUCCAAGGAACUAGCUGCAGGGCCCUCCCAUGUUCCAACCCACACCUUCCCAGACUCCUUACUGUCCCAGGUGGACUGGGCUCUGCCCCGCCCGCUGCCCGCACCCAGCCC